AUUGAACGCUAGCGGGAUGCUUUACACAUGCAAGUCGAACGGCAGCGCGGACUUCGGUCUGGCGGCGAGUGGCGAACGGGUGAGUAAUGUAUCGGAACGUGCCCAGUAGCGGGGGAUAACUACGCGAAAGCGUAGCUAGUACCGCAUACGCCCUACGGGGGAAAGGGGGGGAUCGCAAGACCUCUCACUAUUGGAGCGGCCGAUAUCGGAUUAGCUAGUUGGUGAGGUAAAGGCUCACCAAGGCGACGAUCCGUAGCUGGUUUGAGAGGACGACCAGCCACACUGGGACUGAGACACGGCCCAGACUCCUACGGGAGGCAGCAGUGGGGAAUUUUGGACAAUGGGGGCAACCCUGAUCCAGCCAUCCCGCGUGUGCGAUGAAGGCCUUCGGGUUGUAAAGCACUUUUGGCAGGGAAGAAAAGUUUCGGGCUAAUACCCUGGAGCGAUGACGGUACCUGCAGAAUAAGCACCGGCUAACUACGUGCCAGCAGCCGCGGUAA
rnacentral:rRNA from 1 species